rnacentral:rRNA from 1 species
AUGCAAGUCGAACGGUAGCAGGAGAAAGCUUGCUUUCUUGCUGACGAGUGGCGGACGGGUGAGUAAUGCUUGGGAAUCUGGCUUAUGGAGGGGGAUAACGACGGGAAACUGUCGCUAAUACCGCGUAUUAUCGGAAGAUGAAAGUGCGGGACUGAGAGGCCGCAUGCCAUAGGAUGAGCCCAAGUGGGAUUAGGUAGUUGGUGGGGUAAAGGCCUACCAAGCCUGCGAUCUCUAGCUGGUCUGAGAGGAUGACCAGCCACACUGGAACUGAGACACGGUCCAGACUCCUACGGGAGGCAGCAGUGGGGAAUAUUGCGCAAUGGGGGGAACCCUGACGC